UUCUGAAAACAUCUGAAUACUAGCAUAAUUAUUUUCUUCUCUCAAAAAAUUAAAAAGUAUUAUUUGUAUUUACAGUGACAUGUCAAGACUGAAAAUUAAGCCCGGCUAGCUUUUGGCUGACAAACAAUUGGCAAGCUCACAAGUUAGAAUUUAUAAUCGCAGUGUGAAGUUGAUGCCUUUGUUAAUUUAAGGAAGAGUCAGCCUAUAAAAGGAUAAGAUUGGAUUGUAGCUAGAGAUUGCAAAUCUUGCGUCCAUUCAGAUUUUUGCCAGCAGGUAAUUAAUGACUUUUCCGAAGGCGGGUGUUUAGAGAGGAAGUGUGAACACAAAUGUUGUGUGUUUAUUUACUUCCUUAGUAUGACUAGCACAUGUUUAAUGAUCUAUAAAUUGAUCCAUAGUCCAUCCAAUGGUGUUAGGAAUACACAACCUUUAAAUGCUUUUGUCCAAAGUGUCCGUCAAUCCAUCCCAGCGACCCACCCCUAUGUUACAGUUCCUGCUGUCUGAGUUAUAACAGCUACCCUGGGAAUCUUGUCUGAACAGCAAGCUGACUGCUGUUCACAGUCAGAUCUGCUCUUUCCCACCCCCAAACAUACACAAAAGAUUUUUGUCAUUCUUGGCAUUGGGCAAUAGCAGCAGUGAGACCUGCCAGCAGAGCUCGGAGGCAGAAUGUCCCUCCACCUGUUCUGCGCUCUGAGACGGCUUCCAAGAGCGGGCUGGGUGGGGGCUGCUUCCUUGAAUGGCAGCUGAAUGCACCAGCAGGCCCUUGGCAGCGAGGCCCGGGCACUGAAGCCGGGCAUUCAGGAGAGCUAAAUGGAGACGAGAAACUUGAGCGAACCGCUUCCUGGAACAUCAAGAACCUGAAUGGGAAAUUCACAAGGACCAGAUUCACUCUAUUCUUAGACCAGCGGAGGUCAGAUUUCCAAGACUCUAUUUAUUCAGAGCUUCUCCCUAAAAAGUGCCUGGCAAUGCAGAAGGACAAUAAAAAUACUCCCUUUUCUUUUAGAAAAUGUUAAUUUACUUAUUGUUUUGUUAUGCUCCUGCUUAAGAGUAUUUUUUUUUUUUGCCACUCUAUAGUGACAGCUUGGUACCCCAAAUCAAACAGAAUUAUGAUGGUGAGAUUCAUUUAAAGGAGACAAAUAAAAACGAUAUAUUGUACACCAGUUCUCCAAGAUGAAUGCCAUUGUUAUGUAUCACAAACACAUGCUAAUUAAAAGUAAAAGAAAUAAGAAAAGUGAGCCAGCCUUCCGGGUAAGUGGCAUGAACUGUGGGUGCACCCAGGAGAGAACAAUUCAGUGUCUCCCUUGAGUCUAACAGUGCACGGGCUGAGAAUCAAACUUACCACCCCUCCUCUCCAUUAGCAACUGGAUGGUUUCAAGGGCAGCUGGAGUUGAUAGCAACUAAGUCACCAUGAACUAAGCAUCUGGUACCACACCGCACUCUUCCACCAUGAUGUCUCUGCCCUGUCUCCAGCCAACCAUGGACCAAAUCAUUGGAAACCAUGAGCCAAAUUAAACGUCACUUCCUUAGAUUAUUAAGAGAUUGAUUGAGUAAUUUGAGCCCAGACAGACCGAGUAAUUUGCCCAAGGCCAUCCAGCUGAUAAAUGGUGAUUCCAGGUAUGAAAUUCAAUGCCUGUGUUCUCAACCACCACUCUCUGCUGUCUCCCAUCACCCAGCAGCCACCAGCACCAUCCAGCCACAUCUCCAGGCCCUGGUUUAACCAUGUCACACUACUUUCAGAGAUAUGUCUGCUUUUUAAAAAAUUCUGCCCUA